rnacentral:rRNA from 1 species
GACGAACGCUGGCGGCGUGCUUAACACAUGCAAGUCGAACGGAAAGGCCCUGCUUUUGUGGGGUGCUCGAGUGGCGAACGGGUGAGUAACACGUGAGUAACCUGCCCUUGACUUUGGGAUAACUUCAGGAAACUGGGGCUAAUACCGGAUAGGAGCUCCUGCUGCAUGGUGGGGGUUGGAAAGUUUCGGCGGUUGGGGAUGGACUCGCGGCUUAUCAGCUUGUUGGUGGGGUAGUGGCUUACCAAGGCUUUGACGGGUAGCCGGCCUGAGAGGGUGACCGGCCACAUUGGGACUGGGAUGAGGCCCAGACUCCAACGGGAGGCAGCAGUGGGGAAUAUUGCACAAUGGGAGGAAGCAUGACGCAGCAACGCCGCGUGCGGGAUGAGGGCCUUCGGGUUGUAAACCGCUUUCGCCUGUGACGAAGCGUGAGUGACGGUAAUGGGUAAAGAAGCACCGGCUAACUACGUG